rnacentral:rRNA from 1 species
AACGAACGCUGGCGGCAGGCCUAACACAUGCAAGUCGAACGCCCCGCAAGGGGAGUGGCAGACGGGUGAGUAACACGUGGGAACAUGCCCUUUGGUUCGGAAUAACUCAGGGAAACUUGAGCUAAUACCGGAUAAGUCCGCAAGGAGAAAGAUUUAUCGCCGAAGGAUUGGCCCGCGUCUGAUUAGCUUGUUGGUGAGGUAAUGGCUCACCAAGGCGACGAUCAGUAGCUGGUCUGAGAGGAUGAUCAGCCACAUUGGGACUGAGACACGGCCCAAACUCCUACGGGGGGCAGCAGUGGGGAAUAUUGGACAAUGGGCGAAAGCCUGAUCCAGCCAUGCCGCGUGAGUGAUGACGGCCUUAGGGUUGUAAAGCUCUUUUACCCGGGAUGAUAAUGACAGUACCGGGAGAAUAAGCUCCGGCUAACUCCGUGCCAGCCGCCGCCGUAAAAC